UACGUAGGGUGCAAGCGUUAAUUGGAAUUACUGGGCGUAAAGCGUGCGCAGGCGGUAAUGUAAGACAGAUGUGAAAUCCCCGGGCUUAACCUGGGAACUGCAUUUGAGACUGCAUUGCUGGAGUGCGGCAGAGGGGGGUGGAAUUCCGCGUGUAGAAGUGAAAUGCGUAGAUAUGCGGAGGAACACCGAUGGCGAAGGCAGUCCCCUGGGCCUGCACUGACGCUCAUGCACGAAAGCGUGGGGAGCAAACAGG
rnacentral:rRNA from 1 species